UUUCACGGACAUUGGAUAGUUUAAACCAGCUUUUAUAUAGAUUAAAACGUUAAUAUAUGUUACUCGUAUCGAAUUUCACUGACAUUCCAAAAGUCCGUUUGAAAAAGGCGCCAUUUCAAACGGACUUUUAAAUUUCAGUGAAUUAAUUUUUCCAAGCUUAGUAUGCAUAAGUAUUGUACUAAUUGUACAUAUAGGCUAUAUAUAUAUAUUUGUAACGUUCAAGAAAUACCUUGUAUAGAUCAUCUAGAGGAAAUUUUGACUAAGGAGAAUCUGUCUGACUUCCUAAAACAUCACGUUUAUUUUUAUAAGCCGAAGCUUUCGAUCCGUACAUCCCGCAGUUCCUUCCUUCGUCAGCGCAGAUGAUAAUAUAUAAAUCUAACUUAUAAAAUAAAAUCCAAC